UUCCAACCGACCAAAGUGUAACAGUGUUUAUCAAUAGCAGAUAGGGAAAACUAUCAUAGAAUCGCAGUCCCUACUGCCACACGCUUCAAAGGCGAAAUAGAAAAAAUCGAGAGAAAACUGUCGUGGUUCAAUUAUCGAGUCUUAUCUAAAUAACAGCCACACGGUCCUCAAACAGCGGCCCUGCUGUGGUUACAUAAGAGAGUGGAAGAUUAGCGCCAACACAAAAUACACAACAUUCCCUAUCGGAUCGUCUACGGCGAAGCAUUUCAGAAACUUGUGCGCCACUGUGAAGUGUCCUUGCGUGUGGCUUACAUAAUCGAACGGAAGCAGUCCCUUGUCAGAGAGCGCAAAGAUGACGUCGCCGAAAAUAUCCGCGGACAAGUCGGCCGACAGCAACGCCAACACGCCGAAGCACCAGCCGGAGAAUGGCGCUAGUGGAAAUGAGACGCCCGCAGGAGAAGCAUCGAACGCCGAGGGGAGGGCUGGCGUGCAGGCGGUGGUGGCCGCAACCGUGCAGUCCAUCCGGGAGAGAGGCUUCUACGGGUGCUUCAGCUUGUUGAAGGUCUUCCGUUUUGCCAACCUUAUGAUCAAGCAGGGCUGCUAAACAACCUGUGCUGCUCGGUCCCGAUUUUCCCUCCACCUUUAGCUCCUAUCAAUUUUUAGUUUACGAAACAUAGCAUGUAUUUACACACCUUACCCGCAAGGAAGUUUGUAGGUCUCCAUUCUCCCGCUAAAUGGCCGUUCGGAAGAAGGGUCGCUCCUUCCGCCACGCGGCAGUUCGUGCGUUUCGUGCACCACGCGGUUCCGUUUACGUACGAAGAACUAAUUGAAGCCAAUGAGUCCAGCUCCAAACCGAAAGGCAGUGGCCCUCGUGGCCAAUUACGGAGUGUUGUGGGUUUGCCUUGCACGAACGGGCAGGCGGCAAAAGAGAUCACGAAACGGAACUCUACUGUUAUCAUAGGAACACAUAUGAAGCAUAGAACACAAUAUGCAGUUAUUUAUUACGCCAUUACAUCGUCGCCGUGUAGCCUACUACUUUAGUAAGUGAUUAGAAUAGGCCAAAUUUGUUUCCACGUGUGACACGAACCGCAACUAAGGGAAGUAAAAGGUAACAUAAACUACAGAUACAAAUAAUAAUGCAUCCUGAGAAAACACUCAAAGUGUCACAUAGAGAGAAUAAAAUUCUAGUAGUAAAUGUGAAGUAACAAUUGAUUCUACCGGUAUCGUCGUUUCGGUGAAUGUUUGCAGUCUAACGUUUCCUGCUCCUCUACAACAAAAUAACACCACGUUUGAGAAUUUAUUAAAUUGUUAUAAGCAAUUCCUCUGAGGACUUCUAAUGCGAAAUAAAACAGAAUAUUGCAUGUUUGAAAAACAUACAGUUUUGGAACGCGCUGUGAUGACCUGGACAAUUCCCCAGGGGUUGCGUAGUAGGGUUCGUUGAUUACUUCACUUUUUUUACUCCACUAAGAGUGGUCCACCAUCGUGUUUGCGUGCGUUUAGGUCGUGAUGAGGAUGAGGGGAAGGGAACCUUUACGGCCCAAUUUAUAGUACGAGUUAUGAUUUAUGUGUAUCAUUUCCAUGCUUGCGAUUCCCUCUCGCCGUAGUUCGUUUUGGCGUUUUAGCAUUACUUUUUGCACUGGAAAGAAAUAUUUUCCGUCGGUUUCGAUCGCGAAUGAUGGCACACGGGAGCAUAGAGCAUCGAGUCCACCGGAGUUAUGAUGGCGAGACAACAAUGUGCGUUCAAUGUGCGGCGCACGAAAAGCGACAGAUGUUUAUCUCUUCGGCCCAGUUUUCAUUAUCGCUCAUUUCCGGACACAUCCGGCUGUGGAUGUGGAUGUGUGCCAUGGUAUGGGCCCGUGUUGCCGCAGGUAUCCGAGGAGAUAUGCUCGCCGUCCACGUUAUGCUGUGAAGGCUUAUAUGGGAACGUGCACAUAAGGGGUACGGCGUUCCCGAAAUGACAAGGGAUGAUCGACGCGUUACCCGAUGGGAUGCGACAAUAUUUUGAUCGAACAAAUGAAACUACUCCGCGGAAAAUGGGGAAGGGAACGUAAAGAAAAGUAUCCCUAAAAAGUGUAACAGUAGAAAAAAAAAUGCUCGAUCCAUCCAUUUGGACAGUGGAAAAU